AUCCUGGCUCAGGAUGAACGCUAGCUACAGGCUUAACACAUGCAAGUCGAGGGGCAGCAUUAUCGAAGCUUGCUUUGAUAGAUGGCGACCGGCGCACGGGUGAGUAACGCGUAUCCAACCUUCCCCAUAGUCAGGAAUAGCCCGGCGAAAGUCGAAUUAAUGCCUGAUGUUUUCCACGGACGGCAUCCGAUGUGGAACAAAGAUUGAUCGCUAUGGGAUGGGCAUGCGGCGCAUUAGCUAGUUGGCGGGGCAACGGCCCACCAAGGCGACGAUGCGUAGGGGUUCUGAGAGGAAGGUCCCCCACACUGGUACUGAGACACGGACCAGACUCCUACGGGAGGCAGCAGUGAGGAAUAUUGGUCAAUGGGCGCAGGCCUGAACCAGCCAAGUCGCGUGAGGGAAGACGGUCCUACGGAUUGUAAACCUCUUUUGUCGGGGAGUAACGUGCGGGACGCGUCCCGUAUUGAGAGUACCCGAAGAAAAAGCAUCGGCUAACUCCGUG
rnacentral:rRNA from 1 species